AUUGCUUCUCGGCCUUUUGGCUAAGAUCAAGUGUAGGACAUUAUUUUUUGUCUCUUCUGCAUUAUAAUGAAUUUAGCCAUUGGCUACAAACUUUGGAAAGUGCUGGGAAGAGUUCUAGUCCCAUGUAUAUAUUUCCCCCA
rnacentral:snRNA from 1 species